GACGAACGCUGGCGGCGUGCCUAAUACAUGCAAGUAGAACGCUGAAGCGAGGAGCUUGCUCUUCUUGGAUGAGUUGCGAACGGGUGAGUAACGCGUAGGUAACCUGCCUUGUAGCGGGGGAUAACUAUUGGAAACGAUAGCUAAUACCGCAUAACAAUGGAUGACACAUGUCAUUUAUUUGAAAGGGGCAAUUGCUCCACUACAAGAUGGACCUGCGUUGUAUUAGCUAGUAGGUGAGGUAAUGGCUCACCUAGGCGACGAUACAUAGCCGACCUGAGAGGGUGAUCGGCCACACUGGGACUGAGACACGGCCCAGACUCCUACAGGAGGCAGCAGUAGGGAAUCUUCGGCAAUGGGGGCAACCCUGACCGAGAAACGCCGCGGGAGUGAAGAAGGUUUUCGGAUCGUAAAGCUCUGUUGUAAGUCAAGAACGGGUGUGAGAGUGGAAAGUUCACAAUGUGACGGUAGCUUAACAGAAAGGGACGGCUAACUACGUG
rnacentral:rRNA from 1 species